CACAUUUACAAUUCACAGUACAUAACUUUUGUUGUCCUGUUUGGCAAACUGUUGCUUUUAUUGGUAUUUGUAAGUUGCAAAAUAUUCGAACACGCUAAAAAUGCAGUUACUUCACAGUGAUGAAAAAUUAUGUUUUUCCUUUUACAUUAUUUAACCAAAAAAAUUGUACAACAUAGACCUUUCAUCAAAAACUGCAUACAAACUUUCCUAAAUGUGUUCAUAUUCACAUGUAUAACUAUAUCGGCUGAAGUGUGCAACGAUACAAAAAUAUUUUUUCUCACUGUGAUGUGAUACUAUUUAUCAAAAUUAUUUUUAGCGUGCAUGGAUUCACGUUGUCAAAACAUAGAAAAAAGAAAAAAAAGUUUUGUUUUUUUCGGUGAAGUUUGAAGAGAAUUUUUCUCGUUCUGAUUGAGUUGGAAGCAGUUGAAAUAAACAGGCAGUUAAAAUAAAGCGUUGGAGAACAGGAAGAGCAGCUUCCAGCGCUACUAUAGUACGGGGAGAGAAUAUCCUUGUAAAAUCUCCAAUUCCAGAAAAGUCAGUGUUUCUUUGGUUAUUCAGACCCGAAUGAUGAUCGCUUCAUUUUCCACUGCCAACCACCGGUUAACUGGACUGCAGCAAGGAAGCAAACAUCACAAAUCGGAAGCUACUCCCGAGGACAAGCAGAUGUUGACGAUACUUGCUAUGGAUUCGAUUCGAAAAUGGAAGCCCGGUGCAGUGGAUCGCACAAUUUAGCUUGUCUAUCCGGAGCAGGCGUCAUAAUGAUGUAUCCGGAAGGAAUGACUCCGAUCUGGUAUGUAUUACCCAUGCGAGUCAUCACUGCAUCGUCGCUGGACUGGCGAGCGGUUUGCAAAACAGGCGGAGUUGAGUGCUUUACACGUAGGAUAAAUUAUAAAUCUGUGUCAAAUUGUGUAAAAUUUAUAUGAUAACAAUAAAUAUGAAUACUGAUUUUACAUGACAACUGUUAA